ensembl:snRNA U6 U6 spliceosomal RNA
GUGCUUGCUUUGGCAGCAUAUAUACUAAAAGUUAGAAGGAUAGAGAUCAGCAUGGCCCCUGUGCAAGGAUGACAUGCAGAUUUGUGAAGCGUUUCAUAUUUUU